AAUGCUAUGAGCCAUUCUUUCUAGGCAACAACCCCACCCCCCAAACUUUAAGCAUGAAAGAAACAUGUUUUAAAAAACAACCAACCCCCAAGACAUUCAUUGAUAUCUGCAAAGGGCCCCCACUUGGAAAUGGGUACUGUUUAAUACUGUAAGACAGCCACAAAUGUAUUUUAACUUAAAGCGGGGCGGAAGCCCUGUUGUGCAGACAAAACGGUUUCACUACCCCAGAUCACAAAAGGGAAUGCUAUGGGAGGGGUGAUUAAAUUAACCGGUUAGCAACUGUGUUGAAGUCUGUUGGAAACAAUGGGCUAAGAUGGUUUAAAAACCUCAGGUAUGCUGGAGCUUGUUCUUUUCAACAGAAAACUUUCUUGAAUAGCUGCUGGACUGCAAAAAGAGGCCCAAACACACACGAGGGGGAACAGAACAAGCAUGUGCCUGCAACACUUGAUCCCAUAGUGAAAGUACAGUCAAAACAUGAGAUCCUUAGACCAGAGGGAAAACAAGGUGAAAAGAAAAAGGAAAGACAGCUAGAAAAGGAAAAUUCAACCAGCAUCAGUCACUGAUGGAUGGAUGAA